GCCACUGUGGCGUAAUGGUUUGGUGCUUGACUACAUCUGUGGAGACCAGGGUUCAAAUCCCUGCUGAGUCA